AUUGAACGCUGGCGGCAUGCCUUACACAUGCAAAUCGAACGGUAACGGGCCUUCGGGUGCCGACGAGUGGCGCACGGGUGAGUAAUACAUCGGAACGUGCCCGAUCGUGGGGGAUAACGAGGCGAAAGCUUUGCUAAUACCGCAUACGAUCUACGGAUGAAAGCGGGGGACCGCAAGGCCUUGCGCGGACGGAGCGGCCGAUGGCAGAUUAGGUAGUUGGUGGGAUAAAAGCUUACCAAGCCGACGAUCUGUAGCUGGUCUGAGAGGAUGAUCAGCCACACUGGGACUGAGACACGGCCCAGACUCCUACGGGAGGCAGCAGUGGGGAAUUUUGGACAAUGGGCGCAAGCCUGAUCCAGCCAUGCCGCGUGCAGGAUGAAGGCCUUCGGGUUGUAAACUGAUUUUGUACGGAACGAAAAGCCUUCUUUUAAUACAGGAGGGUCAUGACGGUACCGUAAGAAUAAGCACCGGCUAACUACGUG
rnacentral:rRNA from 1 species